rnacentral:rRNA from 1 species
UACGGGGGGGGCAAGCGUUGUUCGGAAUUACUGGGCGUAAAGGGCUCGUAGGCGGCCAACUAAGUCAGACGUGAAAUCCCUCGGCUUAACCGGGGAACUGCGUCUGAUACUGGAUGGCUUGAGUGUGGGAGAGGAAUGCGGAAUUCCAGGUGUAGCGGUGAAAUGCGUAGAUAUCUGGAGGAACACCGGUGGCGAAGGCGGCAUUCUGGACCAUUACUGACGCUGAGGAGCGAAAGCCAGAGGAGCAAACGGG